rnacentral:rRNA from 1 species
CCUACGGGAGGCAGCAGUGGGGAAUCUUGCGCAAUGGGCGAAAGCCUGACGCAGCAACGCCGCGUGCGGGAAGAAGGCUUUCGGGCUGUAAACCGCUUUCAGCAGGAACGAAAAUGACGGUACCUGCAGAAGAAGGAGCGGCCAACUAUGUGCCAGCAGCCGCGGUGAUACAUAGGCUUCAAGCGUUGUCCGGAUUUAUUGGGCGUAAAGAGUUCGUAGGCGGUCGAGUAAGUCGGGUGUGAAAAUUCUGGGCUCAACCCAGAGACGCCACCCGAUACUGCUUGACUUGAGUUCGAUAGGGGAGUGGGGAAUUCCUAGUGUAGCGGUGAAAUGCGCAGAUAUUAGGAGGAACACCGGUGGCGAAGGCGCCACUCUGGAUCGAUACUGACGCUGAGGAACGAAAGCAUGGGUAGCAAACAGGAUUAGAUACCCUGGUAGUCCAUGCCCGUAAACGGUGGGCACUAGGUGUGGGUUUCUAUUAACGAAAUCCGCGCCGUCGCUAACGCAUUAAGUGCCCCGCCUGGGGGAGGUACGGUCGCAGACUAAACUACAAGAAGUAGACGG